UACGGGGGGAGCAAGCGUUGUUCGGAUUUACUGGGCGUAAAGCGCACGUAGGCGGCGCGGCAAGUCAGGGGUGAAAUCCCGGGGCUCAACCCCGGAACUGCCCUUGAAACUGCAGUGCUAGAAUCUUGGAGAGGCGAGUGGAAUUCCGAGUGUAGAGGUGAAAUUCGUAGAUAUUCGGAAGAACACCAGUGGCGAAGGCGACUCGCUGGACAAGUAUUGACGCUGAGGUGCGAAAGCGUGGGGAGCAAACAGG
rnacentral:rRNA from 1 species